rnacentral:rRNA from 1 species
UUUUUUUUUCCAAAGAGAGGUUUCUCUGCGUGCUUGAGGUAUAAUGCAAGUACGGUCGUUUUAGGUUUUACCAACUGCGGCUAAUCUUUUUUAUACUGAGCGUAUUGGAACGUUAUCGAUAAGAAGAGAGCGUCUAGGCGAACAAUGUUCUUAAAGUUUGACCUCAAAUCAGGUAGGAGUACCCGCUGAACUUAAGCAUAUCAAUAAGCGGAGGAAAAGAAACCAACCGGGAUUGCCUUAGUAACGGCGAGUGAAGCGGCAAAAGCUCAAAUUUGAAAUCUGGUACCUUCGGUGCCCGAGUUGUAAUUUGGAGAGGGCAACUUUGGGGCCGUUCCUUGUCUAUGUUCCUUGGAACAGGACGUCAUAGAGGGUGAGAAUCCCGUGUGGCGAGGAGUGCGGUUCUUUGUAAAGUGCCUUCGAAGAGUCGAGUUGUUUGGGAAUGCAGCUCUAAGUGGGUGGUAAAUUCCAUCUAAAGCUAAAUAUUGGCGAGAGACCGAUAGCGAAUAAGUACAGUGAUGGAAAGAUGAAAAGAACUUUGAGAAGAGAGUGAAAAAGUACGUGAAAUUGUUGAAAGGGAAGGGCAUUUGAUCAGACAUGGUGUUUUGUGCCCUCUGCUCCUUGUGGGUAGGGGAAUCUCGCAUUUCACUGGGCCAGCAUCAGUUUUGGUGGCAGGAUAAAUCCAUAGGAAUGUAGCUUGCCUCGGUAAGUAUUAUAGCCCUGUGGGAAUACUGCCAGGCUGGGACUGAGGACCUGCGA